rnacentral:snoRNA from 1 species
CAGCAGGCAGUUAUCCCUUCACCUGCCUGCUCGUGGCUUUGGAGGGAGUCAGCCUGCCAGAUCAUUGUGGACCCCCUGGUGCGUUUUGGCUUGUCUCCUGUGACACUCCAUCCACCAGUAUCCACCACACCA